CCUUCAAUCUUUCAAUUCCACAAACGAUAAUCCCAAAUCCAUUGCAGCUGAUUUGUCGCGCAAGCGCGUCAAUCAGUUUGAAAAUCAGCAUGGAAGAUGUGUGUUGGGUGGUAAUUUUCAACAACAAAACCUAUUUUUUUCUAAACCACUGUUUACCUCCAGCAGCACAGUGAUUGUUACGAGAGAAGUGAACCUCGCUCAAUGCAAUGUUUUCCGAAAAUGUCCUCGUUCAGACAUGAAGCUCAUAAUGGGUCCCGAAACCACGUCGUCCAUUCAAGUCUUCUGCAAUCCAACGAAGUCCUUAAAAAAAAUAACAUACCUUUAAUCAUAGUUAUAUAUACAAAAGAGCAUUAUAAUAUUAUCCAAUUGUUGAAUCUCUGUUAAUUGUUAUUCGAGCAUUUGAAACUUUAAUUGUCACUUCAUAACCCGCCUGUUUACCUAACAGCAAAAGAUGAAUGAAAUCUAAGCGCCGCUCAACUGUUUUGUUAGUACAAGAGAAAGAAUAAAGAAUGCUCUUAGACGACCUUACUUAUGCGGAGGGGUCAAUGCCCAAUGCACACUAGAUUCUGAUGUCUAAGUCUGCUUCAUGUCAGUAUGGUCCCAGUUGCCUUAGAGAUUUCUUCUUCUUCGUGACGUAGAUAACGCGCGCGAUUGUUUUUUUUUGUGUUCGCGAAAAUCGCGGUUGUGAUCUGAACUUCCAUCCAGGAGUAGCGUUAGUUUUGUUGUUGUGUCUUUGUUUUUCGUUCGUUUGGCGUGACAUGGAAGUGACUUAGAGGAGCGAAAAUAAUGGGGGAGGAGAAUCAGAGGAGGCUGAGCCAGGUUUUCGAUCCGCUCGCGAGGCUCGGGGAGUUGACGAGGUCAUCGCAGUCGACACCCUCGUCGCCCAGACUCUUGCCCCGCAGAAUCCGCGACGCGAGUUCGGUGUUGCCACCUCCUCUGGCCGCUUUCGAUGUUGUCGACGCGGGUGGACAUGGCAGCGGAAGUGGUAGUGCUGCUUCAGUCAACUGGCAGGAGAGGUGUUUGGAACUGCAGCUGGAAUUGCAUCGGAGCAGGGCGCAGGCGACCAGGACUAGGGAUAUGCUACGA